rnacentral:rRNA from 1 species
GUGCCAGCCGCCGCGGUAAUACCGGCAGCUCAAGUGAUGUCCCAUAUUAUUGGGCCUAAAGCGUCCGUAGCUGGCCGACCAAGUCUCCCGGGAAAUCCACCCGCCCAACGGGUGGGCGUCCGGUAGAAACUGGCCGGCUUGGAACCGGAAGGCUCAGAGAGUACGUCCGGGGUAGGAGUGAAAUCCCAUAAUCCCGCACGGACCACCGAUGGCGAAAGCACUUCGAGAAAACGGACCCGACAGUGAGGGACGAAAGCUGGGAUCUCGAACCGGAUUAGAUACCCGGGUAGUCC